GACUCGUAGGCAUAUAGCUCAGUAACACGUGGCCAAACUACCCUACAGACCGCAAUAACCUCGGGAAACUGAGGCCAAUAGCGGAUAUAACUCUCACGCUGGAGUGCCGAGAGUUAGAAACGUUCCGGCGCUGUAGGAUGUGGCUGCGGCCGAUUAGGUAGAUGGUGGGGUAACGGCCCACCAUGCCGAUAAUCGGUACAGGUUGUGAGAGCAAGAGCCUGGAGACGGUAUCUGAGACAAGAUACCGGGCCCUACGGGGCGCAGCAGGCGCGAAACCUUUACACUGCACGACAGUGCGAUAGGGGGACUCCGAGUGUGAGGGCAUAUAGCCCUCGCUUUUCUGUACCGUAAGGUGGUACAAGAAUAAGGACUGGGCAAGACCGGUGCCAGCCGCCGCGGUAAUACCGGCAGUCCAAGUGAUGGCCGAUAUUAUUGGGCCUAAAGCGUCCGUAGCUUGCUGUGUAAGUCCAUUGGGAAAUCGACCAGCUCAACUGGUCGACGUCCGGUGGAAACUACACAGCUUGGGGCCGAGAGACUCAACGGGUACGUCCGGGGUAGGAGUGAAAUCCUAUAAUCCUGGACGGACCACCAAUGGGGAAACCACGUUGAGAGACCGGACCCGACAGUGAGGGACGAAAGCCAGGGUCUCGAACCGGAUUAGAUACCCGGGUAGUCCUGGCCGUAAACAAUGCUCGCUAGGUAUGUCACGCGCCAUGAGCACGUGAUGUGCCGUAGUGAAGACGAUAAGCGAGCCGCCUGGGAAGUACGUCCGCAAGGAUGAAACUUAAAGGAAUUGGCGGGGGAGCACCACAACCGGAGGAGCCUGCGGUUUAUUGGACUCAACGCCGGACAUCUCACCGGUCCCGACAGUAGUAAUGACAGUCAGGUUGACGACUUUACUCGACGCUACUGAGAGGAGGU
rnacentral:rRNA from 1 species